rnacentral:rRNA from 1 species
GAUGAACGCUGGCGGCGUGCCUAAUACAUGCAAGUCGAGCGAACGGACGAGAAGCUUGCUUCUCUGAUGUUAGCGGCGGACGGGUGAGUAACACGUGGAUAACCUACCUAUAAGACUGGGAUAACUUAGGGAAACCGGAGCUCAAUCCGGUUGAUAUUUUCAUCCGCAUGGUUUAAAAGUGAAAGCGGGUAUUGCUGUCACUUAUAGAUGGAUCCGGGCUGCAGUAGCUAGUUGGUACGAUAACGGCUUACCAAGGCAACGAUGCAUAGCCGAGCUGAGAGGAUGAUCGGCCACCCCAGAACGGUGACGCGGUCCAGACUCCUACCGUAGGCGGCAGUGCGGAAUCUUACACAAUGGGCUGAAUCCUGACGGAGCAACGCCGCGCGGGUGAUGAAGCUCUUCGGAUCGGAGUUCUCUGUUAUUAUGGAAGAACAUAUGUGCAAGUAACUGGGCACAUCUUGACGGUACCUAAUCAGAAAGCCACGGCUAACUACGUG